rnacentral:rRNA from 1 species
UACGAAGGGGGCUAGCGUUGCUCGGAAUCACUGGGCGUAAAGCGCACGUAGGCGGGUUGUUAAGUCGGGGGUGAAAUCCUGGAGCUCAACUCCAGAACUGCCUUCGAUACUGGCGACCUUGAGUCCGGGAGAGGUGAGUGGAACUCCGAGUGUAGAGGUGAAAUUCGUAGAUAUUCGGAAGAACACCAGUGGCGAAGGCGGCUCACUGGCCC